rnacentral:rRNA from 1 species
CCAAUAGCGUAUAUUAAGGUUGUUGCAGUUAAAAAGCUCGUAGUUGAAUUUCGGGAUCAGAUUGUCGGUCGUGCCUCGGUACGCACUGGCAUUAUUGGUUCCUACCUUCUGAAGAACCGCGAUGUCAUUAAUUUGGUGUCGUGGGGAAUCAGGACUGUUACUUUGAAAAAAUUAGAGUGUUUAAAGCAGGCGCACGCUUGAAUACAUUAGCAUGGAAUAAUGAAAUAGGACGUUUGAUUCUAUUUUGUUGGUUUCUAGGAUCGACGUAAUGAUUAAUAGGGAUAGUUGGGGGCAUUAGUAUUCAAUUGUCAGAGGUGAAAUUCUUGGAUUUAUUGAAGACUAACUACUGCGAAAGCAUUUGCCAAGGAUGUUUUCAUUAAUCAAGAACGAAAGUUAGGGGAUCGAAGACGAUCAGAUACCGUCGUAGUCUUAACCAUAAACUAUGCCGACUAGGGAUCGGAUGAUGUUAAUUUUUUAAUGACUCAUUCGGCGCCUUACG